UACGGGGGGUGCGAGCGUUGUCCGGAAUCACUGGGCGUAAAGGGCGCGUAGGUGGCUUCGUAAGUCCGUUGUGAAAGUCAAAGGCUCAACCUUUGAAAGCCGAUGGAUACUGCGGAGCUAGAGUACGGAAGAGGCGAGUGGAAUUCCUGGUGUAGCGGUGGAAUGCGCAGAUAUCAGGAGGAACACCAAUAGCGAAGGCAGCUCGCUGGGACGUUACUGACACUGAGGCGCGAAAGCGUGGGGAGCGAACAGG
rnacentral:rRNA from 1 species